rnacentral:rRNA from 1 species
GGGAUAAUCCGGAGAAAUCCGGUCUAAUACCGCAUAAUAUCGUGAAUCUGCAUGGAUUUGCGAUUAAAGGAGCGAUCCGGUGACGGAUGGGCAUGCGUGACAUUAGCUAGUCGGCGGGGUAACGGCCCACCGAGGCGACGAUGUCUAGGGGUUCUGAGAGGAAGGUCCCCCACACUGGUACUGAGACACGGACCAGACUCCUACGGGAGGCAGCAGUGAGGAAUAUUGGUCAAUGGGCUUACGCCUGAACCAGCCAAGUCGCGUGAGGGAAGACUGCCCUAUGGGUUGUAAACCUCUUUUGUCAGGGAGCAACGCCGGCUACGUGUAGCCGGACUGAGAGUACCUGAAGAAAAAGCAUCGGCUAACUCCGUGCCAGCAGCCGCGGUAAUACGGAGGAUGCGAGCGUUAUCCGGAUUUAUUGGGUUUAAAGGGUGCGUAGGCGGAAUGCCAAGUCAGCGGUAAAAUCGCGGGGCUCAACCUCGCUCCGCCGUUGAAACUGGCGUUCUUGAGUGGGCGAGAAGUAUGCGGAAUGCGUGGUGUAGCGGUGAAAUGCAUAGAUAUCACGCAGAACUCCGAUUGCGAAGGCAGCAUACCGGCGCCCAACUGACGCUGAAGCACGAAAGCGUGGGUAUCGAACAGGAUUAGAUACCCUGGUAGUCCACGCAGUAAACGAUGAAUACUAGCUGUUCGGGGCAAAUGAGCCUUGAGUGGCACAG